GGGGGGGGGGGGGGGGGGGGGGGGGGGAGGCGGGGGGAGGGGGGGGGCCCGGGGUGUGUGGGGUGCUCGGGUGGCGAACGGGGGGGUAAGGCGUGAGUAGCCUGCCCUUGACUUUGGGAUAACUUCAGGAAACUGGGGCUAAUACCGGCUAGGAGGUCCUGCGUCAUGGUGGGGGUUGGAAAGUUUCGGCGGUUGGGGCUGGACUCUCGGCUGAUCAGCUUGUUGGUGGGGUAGUGGCUUACCAAGGCCUUGACGGGUCGCCGGCCUGAGAGGGUGACCGGCCACAUUGGGACUGAGAUACGGCCCAGACUCCUACGGGAGGCAGCAGUGGGGAAUAUUGCACAAUGGGCGGAAGCCUGAUGCAGCAACGCCGCGUGCGGGAUGACGGCCUUCGGGUUGUAAACCGCUUUCGCCUGUGACGAAGCGUGAGUGACGGUAAUGGGUAAAGAAGCACCGGCUAACUACGUG
rnacentral:rRNA from 1 species